GAUCCUGGCUCAGGAUGAACGCUAGCUACAGGCUUAACACAUGCAAGUCGAGGGGCAGCGGGAUUGAAGCUUGCUUCAAUUGCCGGCGACCGGCGCACGGGUGAGUAACGCGUAUCCAACCUUCCGUACACUCAGGGAUAGCCUUUCGAAAGAAAGAUUAAUACCUGAUGGUAUGAUGAGAUUGCAUGAUAGCAUCAUUAAAGGUUUACCGGUGUAAGAUGGGGAUGCGUU
rnacentral:rRNA from 1 species